rnacentral:misc_RNA from 1 species
AGCCAAAUUUGAUCCUCCCCAGGUUUGUUAUUAUAAGUAUCAUGAGUGCUCAUGUUGUGAUGAUAAAUUUUUGUUUUUAUUUGAACUCUAUAGUUCAGCCUGAAUUUAUUUUCUAAUGAUUAAUGCCCUUGAAAUUUUCUGGACUGUCCUGGAGAAAUUUUAACCAAAUAUAUAUAACCCAAUUUUUUUGCAUAAACAAAUUUGAGAUUAUUAUGGCUGAUGUAAACAAUUCUGAGGCUGUAUAGCCUUUGAUGAUAUAUGUAUGCAUGCGUAUCUUGUUAUUCUUUCUACUUGGGUUCAGUCUAACAGGUUCUUACUACUUAGCUUAAGUUGGUACACAUGCCCAAUGCUAACUUACAUCUAUAUUUUUGCUUUCCUUUUAUUUCAAAUUUUGGGAAUCCCAUUAGCAAAUUCAGUUGUAAAAGAUAAUAGAUUGGGAAAAAAAUGAAUGACUUGAAAAACUGAUCGAUGAAUCUGAAUUUGAUAUCAGGGUAU